UCAUGGACGUUUUCUAAUCCGUGAACAUUUUGUUCAAAAUUCGUAAAAAAAAAAUCUUUUGAAAUUCUGGUUCACAAGGUUCUUUUUUCUGCUUGCUAUUUCCUAGUAAAACGGCCAAUAAUCGGACGCGAAGUAUCUGGUCAUGAGCACACAUGCGCUCGUUAUCUGGACCAUCGUAGAUGGUCUGGGGAUCUGUGCCGCUAUGCAUUAUCAGGGAAUACGGGGAAACAGAAAAUGGGAUGGGCGUGCUGUACGUACGCGUUUCAUCUGAGGCGUGGGCCCAGGACGUCGCCCUCCGUCAGUUUGGUGUGCCGGCGAUUCGGACGGCCGUCGUAGGUGUUCUUCUGAGCCGUGGCUCGGGUCGUCCUGCGGGGAAGUUGGUCCGUGGACCAGGAAAGUCACUUCUCGGGCAAGGAUGAGUGUAGGCAUUAGUUGUAUCCCCCUUGUCGGUGGCGCUGGUGUGAGGUCCUGGUUUGAGAAGACAAUUGUGUUUGAAGGAGUGAACUCCAUUGCCGGCGUUGGAGUUCCUCAUGCAAACAAGUAGUAGAUUCCCCUAGAUCUUGAUUGAAGAGGUGGACGAGAGUGUAGCCCCGAUGGGUCUGGCGCCGUACGUCGCGAGAGUUCCAGCCCAGCCUGCUGACCAAGACCCGGGCGGCGGGUGGAGCCGCAAGCGAGCGCAGAUCUGGGAGGGAGAAAAGGGUCGGGCGGAUAGGUGCGAGCCCUCGCCACAGGCCAUCUGAACUCUCCACUGGUUGAGGUUUGGAGCUGCAGCCCCUAGUAGGAUGCUCUGCUCGGUGAGGGCUUGUUCUGUUAAACCCGACUGGGGUUCGAAACCCGAUCUGGCUUGUAACAGCCUUCGGUUAUUACCUUGUCCAGUAAGCGAGGUAGGAGAGGCGUGAGCGACGGCGGGCCUGCAGCAGAUCCACAUGCGCAGUGGCCUUCUCCGGCGCGAGCACGACGGGAGCAGACGGCAGCAGCGUGCCCCAGAGGCAUCCUACUAUUGCGUCUGAGAGGUGACGACGGCGUCCACACCUACGGUGUUGGAGCCUCUAGGUUUCUCGGUUCAGGCGAAUUAUAAGGUUCUUGGAUCCCGUCUGCCUGCUCAAGUCAUUUGUUUUUCCAGAAAUAUUCUCUGGAUCAAGUGUCUUUUAUGUCAUACUGAACUGUGUUAUGAAACACUGGAGGGAGAAGCAUAAAUCUGAACAUCUAAAUUUUUGUUAGACAGAUAGUUCUUUUUUCCCUGAUA